rnacentral:misc_RNA from 1 species
UCAAGUGCGGCAUAGCCCCUUGGCCGAGACCCGGUUUCUUGCGUUGUGUACCCACACGAUGGCAUGCGUUUUUGUCCCAACGACCCUCGUUCGGUUAGUGCCCCCCGUUGUGGCGGGGGGCGCAAGGCUAAACUCGUAGCCUGGUCCGUUGCCCGCGUCGCGUCCGGCUCUCGUGGGGCAACGGAGCAGUGCUUAAGCCCUCGGAUAUGGAAAGCAUUGAGGGCAUUGACAUCUCGUCCUUGCCCCGAGCAUGCAUUAAGAUGGACCCCAACGCCGGUGCACGACUGUCUCUCCCGCCUCGGUUCGGCCGUGCGGGCAGGACGUCGCUGAGGAAUGCUACCUGGUUGAUCCUGCCAGUA